rnacentral:lncRNA from 1 species
GUGGCUUAGGUACCAAAUAAAAAAUGGUUUUAGAAAAAAACAAAUCUAUUUUUGCAACAAAUAAUGUCAAGAUUUUCUGGUUAAGUUCUGUGCUACGUACCGGCAUGCCGGAGGUACUCCGUCGCCAAGCGCGAAGGGCGUCCACGCAGGCCGCGUUGGUUACAACUUGUGGAAUAAGCUUUGGUGAUACUAACGUUAAGCUACAACUAGACUUAACUCACACACACACACACAUACACAACGAAGUGCAGCCAACGCCUUUGUGGCUUAGGACCGGUGCACAUAGAGCCGCUUAUUGUGCUGUAAGCCGUCCGCUUGGCCACAAGGAGCGUCGCCCCCCCCCUUUUUUUUGCAGCUUGUGGCCUAAGGUUGUUUAGACUUUAAUAACAUUACAAUUAUAAACUCACAGCGCGCAUGCUGUGAGUUUAUAAUUGUAAUGUUNCAAUUCUCCAAACCAGAGGGGGUUUGGCAAAGCCCCGUGUCAACGAGUAGCUUGCCGUUUCGCCUCUAACGGAGUAGAAGCUACCAAAGAGCUGAAGGCUGAAUAGUCAUCCUUCGGGCAUAUUUUGUAUUUAUUAUCCGACCUAAAACCGGAUGGUUCCAUAGUUAAGCUUAGUUCCCACCUAGGAAAACAACUAGUAGCUUAGGCUGCUGACUAAUAUAGUUUAUCGUUUAACUUUAUGAAACUACAACAAGGAUGUUUACAAACCAGUUUAGAAACAACUACGGAGUUUUGGCCGGAGGCCUAAUCCAUUAGAUUCCCCCUUCAGGAAACACAGUACAGUGCCCCACCAGAGUGAGAAGAGCUCAAAAGUAACGUACUUGGCGCUUCGCGUCGCCAAACUAAAUACUUAGUUAAUAUGUGGUAAACCCAGAGC